AUGUAAGUAAUCUCUACACCCAACGUGGGUUUUGAACUCACGACCCCAAGUCAAGAGUCGCAUGUUCUUCUGACUGAGCCAGCCAGGUGCCGCAUCAUGUGAUAUUAAAAGGAAUCCAUGCAGUUAGCAAAAUAUAUUCACCGAGACGCUGAGGCCUGUAGAGGUGCAUGAAGGCAGACAGACAGACCACGCCAGCUGGAUCGCCCCAUCCUUAUUGGAGACAGUUCCUACAGGCUAUAGUGACACACUGGAUGGGACUCUGGACCAUUUUCCCGACAAGCCAAGGGCUGUGUCCUGAAGUAAACAUUCCUAAUGACCAGUGGUGUCACCAGCCCGACAUGAUGUCACUAACAGCACAGUCUUUGUCUGGGUCCACAGCCACAUCAUACAAUGAAUUUUAACUUAUCACAGUGUUCUGACCAUUCAUCAAGCUGCUGUCCCUGGAGCCCGGGAGCCCGGAGGAUUUUUGGGGCAAAUAUACAUGGAACCCCCUAAGUAUCAGGCCCUGAGUCAGGUGUGGGGCCCCAAAGACAAGCAAGACAAGACCCCUGCCCUCCAGGAGUUCAGGACUUUAUGGAGGAUAGGGGUGAGCACGCGAGUAACCACAUAGUAGUGUGAGGAAGAGGCAGAGGAAGUGGGGAAGGGGAUGGUUUCCCUAAGAGGGGCAGGAGUGAGGGCAUGACAGUGACAGUCAGUGCUGUCCUGGACCAGGUGCCCCUGUCUGUGCCCACCUGUGCUUCACCUUAGUCCUCACAGCAGCCCCAUGAAGCUGGAAUUCUAGGGAUAUUUGAGCAGGGACUUGAAGGAGAAGCAGGAUUGUUCUAGGUGGAGACGGGGGCAUUCCAGGCAGGGGCCACCAUGUGGACACAGUGGAGGUGGCCAGCCAGCCUUCACACUGACAGCCUAGCCUGGCUAGGCUGUUUACAGGUGAAAACUAGGGUUGACAUUAGUGAUCAUAGGUGGCAGUGAGCCCAGGACAAAGGCACUGGAGUCACAGGAGAUAGAUUCCGAGAAAAGUAGAGAGGAAUCUGGGUGGGUAUGUUUGCAAAAUCCUCUGGAUUCUUAUUUGAUGAAAUUCAGGGAUAGAGCUUAAUCCGUAUGUUGGGUACAAAUUUGCCUCAUAAUUUUGGAAGCCCUGGUUUCCUGGGUUAAGCAACAUGUCCACAAAGCAAACCUUAAAACUUUCUGAGCCUGCAGAAAGUCAAAGGUGGGUCAGUCUUCUCUGCGUGGUGAUCUUGGCCAUCAGAGGAACAGCUGUCUUAUAAUUGCUCAGAUUUGAUUGUCUUGAUUAAAGGCAGCAGCUUCUGUGAAGAUUGGAGUUACAUGAAAGGGAAGAAAUUUAGCAAAUUUUUAGCAAAGGGAGGAAAUUUACUAAGCGUUAGGAGUGCUCCUUCCACAGAAUCCUGUGUGUGGAUAGGCUGGUAGACGGACAGACAUACGACAUUCUUCAUGAUCCUCUAAAGGUUGCAGAACCUAGAGGAAUGGAGUAACAUCUGUGCAAGUUGUCCUGGACUAGGGAAGAGAGAGAGGGUGGCCUCCAGCGGGCUCUGUCCCUUAGAGUAAGUUGACCAUGGGUUAGUCGCUUAAUCACUCAGCGCCCUAGUUACCUGUCUGUAAAGUGGAAACAAUAGCAUUCAGAGCUUGUGUGCAAAGGGAAGGAGGACAGACGCAGAAGUGCAGUUGGAGGCCCCAUGGGGAGGAUCAGUGUAGCUGCUGUGAGGUCAGGGCUGGUCCAGCAGAGAGGUACACAGAAGGAUCUGAGGCAGUGCAUUAAAAAGCACUUCGCAUGAUUUGCCUAAGUGCAUGAUCCAGGCUUCUGGCCGGGGACAUUUUGAAUCAAUUUGCAUUACCUCCAAAGCACCUCUAAUUUCCGGAGUCAAAUACAAAAUGUGUCACUGCAAACUCCUGCAUUUGUAUGCAGAGCUCACUGCCUGCCCAUGUCUUGUCUGAAAGAUUGAACAUUGUCCUGAUCAAUUUAAUCACAUUUUGGAUGAGGAGAGUUACUUUACCCAGGAAGGGACAGAGAGGUACGUGGACAGGGAGUCCAGGAUGGGCCUGAUUUGUUCUGAACAGGCUUUUGCUAUAUGUCCUUGGGCCAUUUCCCUCCUGGGUACUGUUCCCCUGCUAGAAUGUGACCUCCCUGUAGGCAGGUGACAAAGACUUCUUUUGCUCAACCAGACUUUAGUCCUGAAUCUUCUCCUAGGCUCGUAUGGGCACUUCCAUAUAAAAUCCAGUUUUGGUAAGAGCCCUGCUAAGUUAGUGUAACCAGAACUCUGUAUUCUCCAUAUCUCUGAUCGACUUCCAUAUCUUACCGGAUUCUUCAUCCCCCACCAUCUCCCAGGUGUCUGGUCACCUGGGCCUGUCUUCAGCACGAAUCCGGUUAGGUUGGUUUAGCCAGAAUCCCCGUUUAUCACUGAGGCUUCUUCUUAGUCGUUUUCCAUCUGCCGACCCCCUGCCCCCACUCCUUGGUUAUAAAUUCCCACUUGCCCCUGCUGUAUUUGGAAUGGAGCCCGAUUCUACACCAAGGUCUCUUGUCCUCUAGUGCAAUAGUCCUGAAUAAAAUCUGUUUUUAUUGCUUUACUCUCUGGCCCUGGUUUUUCUCUGACACAGGGUUAGGUGUUCAGGUGCCAUCACUCACAACGGGUGGGUGCUUUGGGGCAGCCAUCUGAGGCUGGGAGGAAGAGGGCAGGGGUCAGGUCCCAGCUGUUUCCUGGGAGAGCAACUGAGACCGUAGAUCCUGUCCGACCAGACCUCACCUAGGAAGGGAAUGUGAACGAUCUGUACUGGUGGAGAGGAGGUGGGUGUUGGGGUUCACCAGCUCUUUCCGGCUGACUUUAGUGGUUUCUAUGGUGACUGGAGAUGAUUAGAUUAGGAGUCACCUGCUCCUUCCAGCUUCAGACUCUCAUGAGGUCGUUCUCAAACCUUCUCUCUGCCUUUCUUCCUUAGCGUCUUUUUUUGGAGCCCCUUCCAUCUUUCCUUUAGAACUGGUCACUAGAUCCUGGAAGCUGGUGUUUGGCUCGGUCCUCUGGGAGCAUGAUCAAGUUGGAUCCCGAUAAAGCACAGACUUCCAGUUAAAUUUGAUUCAGAUCAGCAAUGAAUCAUUUUUCAGUGUUAGGAAGCCCAGGCCCAGAAUGCAGGCGACUUGCCCAGUUUCAGGUGUACAACAUAAUCAUUCAGUGAUUACAUACGUCACAAAAUGCUCACCUCGGAGCCUGGGGGGGCCACGGGGCUUUCAGCUGCGCCAAGAAGGUGAAAAUCCUAUCCCCGCAGCACCCUUUCCCGCCUUCGGUGACACGAGUUACUGCUGUCGGCGGUUCCAGGGAUCGCUCAACGUCACAGUGGCAAGGGAUCUCGGCAGCUUAGUGGCAUAGAUGACGUCAGAGUGCCUGGAGCCAGACAUAUUUCAACUUGGGCCAAGUAACGGAAACUUCUAAGUGCCUCAGUCUCCACAUCUGUGAGAAAACAGAGACACAGAAAGUUCCCGUUACUCACUUAAGACCACACAGCCGGUGAGUGGCCGAGUCGGGGCACAGAUUCAGGCCUGCGCCGUGCACAGUCUAGCCAACAUUGGUGGAUUAGAUGCUGCACUCUGGAAGGCAGGUGCCUGGGGUGUUCAGCUGAGGAGACUGAGCCUAGGGGCUGGGUGCCUUGGACCAGGCCGCACGGGCACGUGGCAGAGCCAGGCCUUCCCGCUCUUUCUUCCGCGUCUCGGUGGCCUCCCGGGCUUCUGGACUGGGGUCAAAGCAGGUGCCCCCUCCAGCUACCAUCCCCCCUUCUUCCCAUCCAGGCCCUUCUCCCAGGAGGCUGGGCCUUGCCGUGCCCCAGAAGGUGCCCUCCUGGCCUGAGCCGGAUGGCAAGAGGCAGAGGGGAGCUCAGAGCCAGCCCUGGAAGAGGGGGGCGUGGUGCCUACAGAGGCCAAGUGGGCGGCAGGGGACCCAGGAAGGCUGCAGCACCUGGCUGGUCUCAGGAAUAUCAGUUGGAAAAUCAGAGGGGCAAAGAUGGCUUCGUUCCUCUUAGCCUGUCUUAGUUAAUUAAUUGAGCAGACGUUUCUUAAGCAUCCCCUGCUUUGAGCCAGCUACUCUGUCUGCUCCAUGCCAGGAGAGGACAUGGAGUUGAGGGUGGCUCGGUCUUGCCCUCUGGGAAGAGAAGCAGGCGAGUGGGAGGCUGAGAGGAGACGGUCCCUGAAGUAAAGACUUGCCCCAGGAUGUGUGGAGUCUAUGCCAGAGGCACCUUCCUGUGAUAGGGGGACCCAGACAGGGGGCUCCUGUGGGCACCCGGAAACCGGAGGGGGUUGAAAGGCACAGCAAUCCUGCCAGCGCUCCUGUGGCUGGGAACGUGGCACUCAUGUUCCCUCAGGCCUCCAAAGGUGUCCCCGGAUACCUGGGAGUCUUGCUCAGGGCUGGCGUGAACACCUGGCUCGUGCACGGAGCUGCCUGGCCCUUGUUGUCUCCAGAAACUGGGCCAAGGUUACUGUCUGAGGCCAUACUCUCUCUGUCCCCCUUUCUCCUCCUUAUCCUCCUCCUCCUCCUACCAUUUACUCUUUUGUUUAAGUAAAUUUUUAGUUUUAGCACAAUCCUCGAUUUAUAGACUUAUGGUGAAGACCUUCCUCCCUUUUUCCACACUCACCGCCUCCCUGUGCCGAUGCAACGCCGGCUGCUGUCCCCUAUCCCCUGCCCCCCUAUCCCCUGCCUUCUCCCUCUUGAGGAGCCUUCUGAGGAACCUUCCUCCUGCUCUGGCCCCAACAGCAUCCUGUCCUCUCAGCUCUCCGCACGGCGUCCGUCUCUGCCACUCCCUUGCCUCUCCUGGCGGACCCCGCCUGCCGUAUUGACCCAGCUCCUAACGCGCAGUGAUGCCUCCGUGAGCAAAGCUUCAUUUAGUCACGUCUGCUUGCACGGAAAGCGGGGAGGGGGCCAGCUGGCCCGGGUGGUGCUGGACACUGGACAACGGUUUUUAAGAGGCGGUCAGGGCCCAGGCUCGGUCCCCUGGUGGAGACUUGCCUCCUGGCCCCCACUGUGUGAGGCUGAGUGUGGGGUGGCAGGUGGGAAUGGGGAGGGGGGGAGUGUGUGAGGAAGGAGGGAGAGCAAGGGAGGGCAUUCCCAGGCCAGAGGGAAGCCUAUGCUUUCUCUGCCCUUAGUGCCCCUACCGCUAACCCAAUCCAGCACCCUUAUGUUAAUUAUCUCCAGUCCUCUCCGUGACCUUCAAGGUAGGCACUGUUAGCUCCAUUUUGAUAAGGAAACUGAGGCUCAGGGAAGCUAAGGACUGAUAAAAAUUGGCAAAGCCCGGAUUCGACAUAGAUCUUUUGGCUUUCGGAGUCCAGACACUCUUGGGUGUCCCUGGGACCAUGCACUUGGUUGACAGCUCAUGGAAAACGUGUGUAGUGGGCCAUCAUCCUAAGAGUACUGUAAAUGCCUCAGGGCAGGACAGUGGGUGUUCAAACCAUGUGAGGAGGGAAAUGGUGUCCCUCCAAAGGCUGGUCCUUUCUGUCCCAGGGAGCAGCCCUCUGGAGGUCUCUUUGGAGACUCCUAGGAUACUUCAAUAUGGCCCUGAGCAGGAAGUGGGGAGGGGGAAGCUGGAGGGCAAAGGGACAGGGCCCCAAGGAAGGCUGUCUUCAAUGGACAUGGCUGGAGUGCCUUCCCCCUUCCUGCAACAACCUUAGUUGAGGGCCUGGCCAGCCCCUUUGCCCCAUGUGACCUCGGCCUAGCCUGCCGUUGGUUGGACGACUGAUGGACAUCUGAUCCAAGAGGACCCAAACUGUCCGCUGGGCUGAGCCAGUCAGGUUAUCUCUUUCAGGGACUGUGAUUACAGGCUGACCGGCUGGUCAGCUUUGGGGAGCUGGGCUGCAGGGUUACAAAGAGCUGGGUCCUGGCUAGGACCACUGUGAGCUAAAGUCACGCGGGAGUCGGAGUUGCAGGGGAAGAGAAGCCAGGGUGGCUGGGUAUAGCAGAGACAGGGGUGGCCGGAGAGAGGGAGGGAAAGGCCUGGGCUUUUGAAUACUGGCCUUCACACUGGCAAAGCGCUGCUGUUCCCUUUUACUUGCACUGGCCCAAAGGGGCUGGGCCUUGACUAAGCGCCAGCGGCUACAGAUGGAGGGGCUGGGCUCCCAAGCACCAGACAAGGUGUGCCCUACGAGGUGAGCAGCACAGCGGAAGGGCCCUGGCUGAGUUUCAGGAGACCCACGUGGGCACAGCACUCUACAGUGUUUAGGAACAUUCCUGUUGAUCCUUACAGCAGCCCUGUGUGACCCUCUGGGCAGGGGUGGUCCACGUUCAACAGCUGGGGACAGUGAAGCCUGGGAAAGUGGGUGUUUCACCCAAGGUUAGAGCCCCAGAGCUGAACCUGAGGCCCAGGUCUCCUGAUUCCAGACCUGCUGCCUCUCCCACAACUCACACUGCCUCCGUGAGCCCCUCUCUUGCUAGGUAGCUGGGUGGCCUGGGCAUUAGAAAUACAGUGGGUAAAGUGCCUAGCACAAGGCCUGGCACACGGAGAGUCUCAGGAAGCAGGAGCUGUUAUUAGUGUUACUACUUUUUUAAGCACAGCUCUGAGCUGCCACCCACCCCUCGGAAGCCUUCUUUUAUUCCCCAGAUAUAUAAAUGCAGUCUGGGGUGUCCACAACUAACCCCCUACCUGGCCUGGCCCAACACUUCUAGUACCUUCUGUUGCGAGGCUUCCCUGCAUCCUUCCCACAUCCCACCUCUGGGCACUUCCUCAUGUUACAGCUGCCUGGAAUUGCCUCCUCCGUCUCUCCUGCCCUCCAAGGACAGCUCCGGGCCCCCUCUUUGGACACGCUUUCCCCCAGCUGGAAGAAUGGCACCUUUUCCUGCCCUCGCCACUCUCUGCCGGGUGUUAGGCUUUUGCACGGAGGUGGGUCUCUCUCCGCUGGCCCACCUUGCCCAGCGUCCACAGCGGAUUCCCAGCAGAUGCAGGGAGCCAGUCUUAAUGGAGGGGUUGGGUUGGGUGGGAUGGUCUAGGAGUGAGUGUGGCCCCUGUGGACCCUGUCUCCACCACCUGCUUCCACACUCCCCUUUCUGGUCGUGGCUAGUGGCCCAGACAGCUCUGGGCUGGCAGGGAAUUUGGGAACAGAUGCCAGGAGAUGUGAAGGAGGCUUUUCUUAGGCUCAGCACUCUCCCCAGGGCUCAGGAGCUCAGAUGGUGCAGAUUGGCAUAGUGCCCAGGAGGAGAGGGACUCCAGGCAACAGGGACUUCAGCCUGGAGCCAGCUGCCGGGACCUUCUCUCCCUCUGAGCCGGCCUGCAGAUGUGGUGUCCCCACCCCCACUAGUCACACAAGCAUGUGUGCACAAGUGCACACACAGACACAUGCACAUACACACUGGCUCCGGCACCCCACAUGUCCCCACAGUAGCCUCUUGGCGUGACUCUGUCCACCAUCCAGGGCAGAGAAUGCAAGAACCAGAUGGGCGGACAGUCUGCACCUCGAUACAGGAAGAGCCCCUCACAGGACCUGGCCUCUGGGCCCUGCUGUCCCUUCAAGUUGUUUAGGAUUUAAAGAAGUCCCCAGAUCCAGCCCCUCCCCCACAAAGACAGACUCCGCUCAGAGGCUAAGAUUCCAUCACUCUCCAUGGAAACACAUUUCACUGCACCCUACGCCCUGUCGGAAAUGCUCCUCAGGCAGAAUGAGAUGACCAAGGCCCGGACCCUUCCCUUUCAGCCUGUUGUCCUCAUUGGAGACAGCAAGCAGCUGUCCCCAUCCCUGGGGACGCCGCCCUUCUCACAGAGACAUGGAUGCAGACGCUCGUCCCCCAGCCUGCCUCCCACUGCCUGACUCACCCUGGGCUUGCCACCUCUCUUCUGACCUCUGAUUUCCCAGCCUUUUCAAUUAUCUCUGCCAUUCUGCCGCCUUCUAAGCCCUCCACCCUCACCGCUGUUCACAGCCCAGAAUCCGGUAUAAUAGGAGAAUGACUUCAUGGCUCCUAUGGCCUAUAGAGGCUCCUAUUUAUGCAUUGGUGCCCUGAACUUGCUUUUUAUGGUGCCAAGAGCUCCAAGCUGGGCAGCGUCCCCAGGACCCAGGCUGUCUCCGCGGGACCCAGCUCUCUCCAGCUACUGCUUACAGUUCUGCUGUGCCCCCCCCUCCCCACCCCUCCUCAAUGUGGAAUCUGGGCAAGCUAGCUUUCUCUGCACUUGACUUUAUUCAAAUGAUUAAAUGCCUCUGUCACGGCUCCCUCCUCCCCAAUUCAAAACAAUACUAGCUGACUUUUAUAUGGUGCUUACCACGUGCCACAUUGCUCUAAGCGAGCUAAUACAUGCUCCUCUUUUAAUCCUCAAACAACCCUAUUUGGUAGGUACUAUUAUUAUUACCAUUUAAAGAUGCAGGAGCUGAGCCACAGGGAGGUUCAGUGACUUGCUCAAGGUCAUACAUCUAAAACAUGGCAGAGUGAGGCCCUCCCCAUACUGUUUCUCCUGUUCUCUCUGUGGGCCUUGCUCCCUUCCAGCUUCUCCCAUUCAGAGGAGGAGAGACUCCCUUCCCAAGGCCGACCCCCUGACUGCACUCUGCCCCGGUCCUGGGCUCUUCCUCCUGGCAUUGUUUCUGGAGGCCCCCCAUUUGGCGGUAUUUUCAAACUGUCCUCUCCUAGUGUCUCAGUAUUGGCCGCAAGUUUGUUUGUUUGUUUGUUUUUUAAAGGGAGGGAGACAGGCCUACCAGGCUCUUUCCUUGGUCUUACUUCCCCCAAGAAUUGCCUCCCCUCUCACCCCUUUAGCUGCCCCCACUUCACCAAGACCACUCUUGCUGAAAACCUCGGGAAUUUCCUGAGUGUCAGACCCCGUGGCACAGGGCUGUCCGUACCUAUGUGGCAACUCUAGAAUAAAUUAGAAAAAAAAAAAAAAAAGGGCCCCUCUGGCUGGAUGUAGCCUCUGGGAGUGCAUAGUUUGCUGAGCAUGUUGAACUUCAGCUUCCUAACCCAUCAGCUGGAUUCUUUUGGACAGUGUACAACCUGGACAACCACACACAGGGUCUUGGAUGUUGGCAUCCUUACUGUCCUUCAUAUUCUGGCCACGCUCAUCCCCGAUGGCCAGUCUUCCUCUGCCGCCUUUGUGGACACUCCACUCUCCUGCUUCUGCUGGUCCUUUGCAUCUCACCCGCUGCACCCUGAUUGUAAGAGUGGGGCAGGACUUUGCAUGAGCUGCUCUGAUGCUGGCUCCCAGAGCGGGCCGCCAAGAACUUGCCUCCAGCUCCACUCCAUGCUCUACGUGGUUGAACUGGGACACCCAAGCUUGUUGUGACAACCCGAAAGCACCCUUCUGUCCCAUGUUGGCUCUCUCUGUACUGCCCGAUUCCUGUUAAUGUGCUCAUUCCUUAGCCAGACUGAACACCGUCCCUUCCUCUUUUCCCCUGCACACCUUGUCCUAGUCCUCCUAGUCCUGUCCUUUUCUUCUGUUCCUUUAGCCCUCAGAGUCAUCCAGGCCCUCACCCUUUGCAGUCUGGGCUUGGGCAGUGGUUCCUGACCUCCUUGGCAGCUUUCCAGCCCCUUCCCUAAUCUUCCCCACCCCGACUUCCAGAUUAUGCCCCACUCUGCUCUCUGCGUAAAAACCUGCUUUCGGCUCAAAAUGUCACUCCUCCACUCAAAAACCUUCUGUGGCUCCCCAUUGACUACAGGGAAAGGAGCCCAAACUUUCAACCUGCCUUUCAGUGUCCUCUACCAUAUGUCAUACCCCUCCAGGCUUAGCUAUUGCUCUGGAGCUGAGGAAAGUGUUUUGGAGCUCACCCUUGGCAGUGCUUUUCCAUAGCUGAGCUCUCUGGAAGGCUGCCAGGGAGGAGGUGGGUGGGGGUGGUGGGGGUGGGGGCUCUGCCCUCUCCACCCCCAUCCCAAGCAGAAGCCUUGUAAUGGCCACCAGCAGCCUGACAGCUGCCCCUGCACCCCGGGCAGCCUGGAUCAGAGCUCGGCCAGACUGCAAAUGUGGAAGGCUGGUCUCCGGGCAGGUGGGUAAGAGCUGAAGGAAACCGAGGAGCCUCUCACGGAGGAGUCACUCGCCCAGGGGGAGAGGCAGGGCUUCAAGGGAGUUUAGUGGGACAGUGGGGGGGGGGGGCAGCCUGGCUGCAUGGAGAGUUCAUCCCCGUGCUUUCCUGUAUGCUCGAGCCUUGCUUCAGUUUCUCACUCUCUUUCUGAGUGUCUGACAGUCAGGGAGGCAGGUAUGGCUAUCACUCUCCCAGCUGAGCAGUGAGGAAGCUGAGGCCGGGGCAGGUGAGCUGACCUGGUCGAGGUCAUGGAGCGUGUGCAUCAGUGGCAGGACAGAGAUGUGAGAGUUUUCGGGCCGAGCAGGAGGAGGGCGGGCUCUCCCGCCGCCAGCCCACCUGCUCGCCCCAGGCUGGACCUGGGCUUUCAGAGCAGCAGGGACUUCCCUUGCCAUCCAGUGAGGGGCUGGUUAACUCUGGCACCCGGUGGGGGGCCCCAGGGGAUGGACGCAUUUUGCCCUGCUCCGUUCCUGGCCCAAAUCGGCACGGCACCUGGGAAGGGCAGCUGGCCAGCCGCGUGCCAGUGUUACUUUAAAAAUAAACCAGGGAAGAACGAGGCUUAAAAAUAACCCCGGGGAUGUGUGAGAAGCUAAUUACUACCACAGCCCCCUGUCAGGGCUUUGGGGAGUGGCUGGGCCCCGUGGUGCCUGCGUGUCCCCUCUGCUCAUCUCUUCCAGUUGGGAGCCGGGUCGCAGCACAGCCGGGGGCGGGCAGGGCCUCAGAAUCCGAGGUAGGAGCUGAAGGGGGCUCUGGGCCUCCCUUCGUCUGGGUCAGGAUGUAGGCAAGGUGGGGAGGAGUGCAGCCAGGCUGGGUGGAGAGUGACGUGGCCCAGGUCCCGGCAGGUUUCCUCUCUACCUCACUUGUCUCUAGGCCUUGCCUGGUGACUUUCCGCUGGAAUCAUCUGGCUCCAAAAGGGACUUUGAGGUCCUGAGUCCCGCUCUCCUCUGGAGGCAUGUGGCGGCAGCCAGGUGGCUCCUUUUGUCAGCUAUGUCGCCCUAUUUGGGACUCCUGACCACCGCUUCCCAUGUGUCCCAUUCUCUUGAGAAGAACUUUGAGGCCCGUCUUGAUCCAUCAGGGUAAGAAUGCCUGGCCCUUCCGGCUGCCCACUCCUGGCUGCCUCCACGUGCAUCUGUGGCCUGUGAGCUCACAUCUCGGGACCCUCAGUGCUAAGUGGGGACUGGACUGCAGCUGGGCCCGGCCUGAAGAGCCCCCAGCAGCAGCUGCGGGGUGGGCAGGAACCACACUCCCAUCCCACAUACCCGGGCUCCCCCAAGGCCCUUGUGCUUGCAGCCCCCCCCACCUUUGGGAAGAGGUGUGAGGACAUCCUGCAUUGACAGGGAGAGGGACACAGGGCCCGGCUGAGGACACAGCUGAGGACGGACUUGCCGGAUCAAAGAGAAAAAGCAGAGCUCACCCAGAGGAGGGAGGCAGAGGCCAAGACUGCUGGAAGCCGGCAGAAACGAUCAAAGGACAAGGAUGGAUGGGGAGGUGGGGCCGACAGGGCAGACGGGGGAGGCAGCAGCAAGGAGAGGCUGGCAGAACCAGGGGCCGGUUGGGAGGCUGCUGUACGACGAGCAGGGGCUUUGGGGGCAGAUGGGCAUGGACUGGAUCCCUGGCUGGGAGCCCUGAGCUGAUAACUGAGCUGGAACUUGGACCUCGUUUGCAUAAUGGACAUAAUGAUAACUGCUCACGGGCCUCUGCAGGAGGGUUUGCGAAGCAUUUAUGAAAAAGGCCUGAAGACGGGGAGCCGUGACGGCCGUGCGUUCUCUCCCUUGCCUCUCUUGAGACCUGGUCCCUCUGUUCCACCUCCGGCUCCACAGAUCCAAAAGUCGCCCCUACCACCUUCUGCUCCCGGAACAAGCUGUUGAACGUGGCCCUCUGUUUUCAUAGUCAGUGUCUCCCAUGGCCGCCAGGCUGCCAAUUGCACUGGUGGUUUCCCUGCGGUCAUCUGACUUGAUUUCCCAGCAGCAGCUGGCAGCUGACAGCUCCCUCUCUCCUGAAACACUGCUCUUGGUCUCCAGGUUCCUCUCCAGUGUCUGGCAGGCCCCCUUUCCUGCUCUCCCUCCCUCCCCGUGUUGGGGGCGGUGGUGGUGCUGCUGGCCCUGGGCUUUUCUCCCCUGCUCCCCGCUCCUCCCAGGUGAUCUCAUCUAGCCUCGUGACUUUAAAUAUUAUUUCCAUCUGAUAACUCCCAGAUUUGUAUUUCAGCCUUGACCUCUCCCUUGCGCUGCAGACUUGUCUAUCUAACUGCCCACAGGGGCUGGUAAUAAGCAUCUGCAAAUUAACUUGUAUGUCUGAAAACAGAAGUUCUCGAAUCUCA